AACGCACAUUGCGCUCCCUGGUAUUCCGGGGAGCAUGCCCGUUUCAGAAUCAAUAAACAUCUCACCAAACUUGAUGUCUUAGGACAUUGGGUACAGGUGGAUCUGGAUUUUUGCGUUUGGCAAAUAUCUUAAAUUCAUUGUGUGUGCACCAAUUGAUGCGUCUUUUGGUUGUCCAAGUGCAACAGAUUUAUCUAUUUCGCUUAGACAAUUGAUCGAUGUUCUUGAUGCGCAUGCUCAACCAUUAAUACGGAAUUCAAAUUAGUUUGAUUUGGACCUCCGAUAACUUGAUCUGAAAUCGGGCAAGAAAACCCGCUGAACUUAA
rnacentral:misc_RNA from 1 species